rnacentral:lncRNA from 1 species
AGGCUCUCGGUCAAGAACUGAGAUGGGAAAAGUUGGCUGGCGGCUCCCGCUGCCCGGCCCCCCUCGAGCCCGGCCCGUCCGCGUCCGGAAAGCGCGGCGCUCGCAGAAGGGCGAGGGGGCUGCGCUCUCCGCUUUUCUUCUCACUUUCACCGUGAUCGUACCCUUGACGUUGAGCACCCGUUAGCGCAGCGGGACUUAACUGUUUUAGGGAAGAAAACGAGGGCGGAAAGGGGGACUGAGAGGGAGAGAGGCGAGGGGGAGGCGAGAGAACAGGGGUGCGAGUUGGCGCGGGCGGCCUGGGGAUGGAGGAGCCUUUGGGCUGAAUUGCCUGUUUGAUCUCGUCCGCGCUGCGCAGGGGUAGGCCGCUGGAAAGACUCGGUGGCCUGGACAACAGGGUCCGAGGGGAAGAAGGUGUAUUUCUGUUGCUGGACAUGAUGGCCACACAAUCUUGCUUCCCACUUUCCUGUCUACAGGCUCAGUAGAUCCAGAUCGUGUGAGUCUCUUUUAUUCCCGUUUUGCACGUGAGGCCACGGAGGCCGGGAUAGACCAGGAUCGCACACGUCUUGGGGGCCUACUCCGGACUCAAACCUACGUCUCUGUGACUCCAAAACUCAUAUUAUACUAUGACCUAGUAUUUGCUGGUGUAAGACGAAUGGUUCCGUUUUAGCGCAGAUGCAAGCGCCACCUUAUUUGGAGGACAGGCAGGUAGAUCUGCAGCUCACAAAGAUGGUAGAAAGUUGAAGAUGAAAGGGAUAUGAAAGGCUGUCUACUUCUACCUCCUCAUUCCACAGCUGUAAAACCCGAGGCCCCGAGGCGGGCUUGCACAGCUCCCCUGGCUCUCCGUCCACGUCCACGUCUCUGCUGUCCACUGCUCCUAGAGCACCUUUCGACUCUUGAAAACAGGAACUGCCAGUUAAAAAGAAUACUACCUAUUUUAUUGAGCCUGAAGGGUUGAGGACAUCACAGACCAGAGACUUUGACCAGCCAGAAAAAGAGAGAUGACAGCAACUGAGAUGAAAGGGUCCUGAAAUCACAUCACAUCCCUGCGCCCAACUCUGCGGAGCGAGACCCUGUCAAGGCUCCGGGUCUCCUGGCGACCUCUCAAACCUCAUUUCCCACCCGCGCCCCCUGACUGUCUGCCCUCCAGCGUCCCCGACCUCCUUU